UACGAAGGGGGCUAGCGUUGUUCGGAAUUACUGGGCGUAAAGCGCACGUAGGCGGAUAUUUAAGUCAGGGGUGAAAUCCCGGGGCUCAACCCCGGAACUGCCUUUGAUACUGGGUAUCUUGAGUUCGGAAGAGGUGAGUGGAAUUGCGAGUGUAGAGGUGAAAUUCGUAGAUAUUAGGAAGAACACCAGUGGCGAAGGCGGCUCACUGGCCCGGUACUGACGCUGAGGCGCGAAAGCGUGGGGAGCAAACAGG
rnacentral:rRNA from 1 species